GAAUCAGAUAUUUUUAUUUAUGAAUUACAGAAUUUAAUCCUUUGUUACCAGGAUCUAUAGGAAAGUUGUUUAUCAUCUGCCCAUGUAGCUCCUGCCUGUCCAUGUGUCUGUUGCUGUACAUUUCCCUAAAGUAGGUGGCUAUCAAAAGUUUACCAGCACUUUACUCAUAGAAAGUGACAGUAUGGGACAGCCAACUGAUGUUCUCACUCAAUAUGGAAUACAUAGCUUUUCUAUCCUUGAUUCCUCCGUUGCUAUAAACUGUUUCUCAAAACCACUACCAUUUUUUUUUCUAUGCUACCAUAGAUGAGCAUGUCAUUGGUAGGCUAGCCUACUGCCCUCCUCCCCACCCAACACCCUAGGUCUCUCCAUUGGGCACAAUGGGCAGUAGUUUCAAGGGAUUCCACAAAGCCAUCUCUCCUGCAUACAGCCCAAGGCUUUCUGCCAUGCUCCUUCCAGUCUGUGCUUGGCAUUUAUUUCCCCUGGCUCAGUUCGUUCUAAUACCUCAGAAUUCAGUUGAAAUGUCACUUCCUCAGAGAAGCCUUCCUUGUUGCCUGUGUGUCCUUUUCUGGCUCCCAUCUUAACUUCUCGAUCUUUCUGAGGUUGUUCUUUGGUAAAACAAUGGUUCAUGAGCUUUAUCUUUGUAGUCAUUGCCUGUCUUCUCUCACCUGCUAUAGUACCAGCUGCAUACCACCUUGUAAGCCAAGGCCACAUGGAUGCUUUUCUAGAGUCUUCAGAGUCUCCCACAGAGACUACACGAAGCUACUUCCCUGAGACGUGGAUCUGGGACUUGGUGAUCGUGGAGUAAGUUACUUAUUUUUAUAUAAGAUGCAGAGAUAUAGAUGUAUCACAGUUUGAACAUCCACGAGUGUCCCCUUUUUAGUGUAUAUAUUUAGAAUUGCUGAGCGCAGCAUUUCACUGUCACUGGGAAAGCAUUACUAAGGUUGAGCAACGUAGAAGCCCCCUAGGUUAAAUUGACUUCUAAGUACUUAUUCUAUUAUGAAUGGGAUUGUUGUCUUUAUUGCUUUUCCAGAUAGCAUGCUACUAGUAUAAAAAAUGCAAACAUACUUUCAUUUUUGCAUCCAACAGCAUCACUGAGUUCAUUUAUUAGUUCUAACAGUUCUUUAGAGUAACUUAUGAGAUUUACUUCAUUUGGGAUCAGAUAAUCUGUAAACAGGGAUCAUCUUAGUCGUUUCUAAUUUGGAUACUCUUGACUUCUUUUUCUAGUUUAAUUAUUUUUACAGGGCUUUCUCCUAAAGGAGAUUGGUUUAGCUGCUCACUUCCUUUACUUUACAUCACACCCCCUGCAGCUCAACAGGAGUGGCUGAAAUGGAAGUGACAGUCCCUGACACCAUCACUGAAUGGAAGGCUGGGGCCUUCUGCCUGUCCAAUGACACUGGGUUGGGCCUCUCUCCUGUGAUCGAUUUCCAAGCCUUCCAGCCCUUCUUCGUGGAUCUCACAAUGCCCUACUCCGUGAUCCGUGGAGAGGCCUUCACGCUCAAGGCCACUGUGCUGAACUACCUCCAGACAUGCAUCCGGGUAGAGACUUAUUUCCUUAAUUCAGCACACACCAAUUAAAACUUACAGUCGUAGAAAUACCAAGAAGGAAAUUUAAAAAAGAAUAAGUAAACCCACUUCUUGUCUACUACAAAGGAAGAAGCUAUCAUACAUAGAUUUAUAUGUUAGGAAAGUGGAUAUCUCUAAGAAUCAACCUACAAAGAUGAGUUUCUAACAUUGAUCGUAAUCCUCUAAAGUUAAGUCACCUGUGCAAUAGACAGAUUUCUUACACAAGUGAGCAUCACCUUGCCCGUCCCAUGUUUUACAGUUUGUAGAUCCAACUUCUACAUUCCUGCAUAUUUAUUUUUUCACACUGCAUUCAUUAUACGUCGCUUCAUUUAAAAUGUUGCUUGUGUGCAUCCCUCCUCGGUCAAAACCAUAACUGUUUAUAGACCUUGUGUAGUAACUGAGCCAGGGGGUGAUAACUCUUCUGGGUCCCAGAAGAGCUGCUUACCCAGGCAACACUCCAUUGUCUUUCUUCUGGUUCCAGCCCUUGAAAGGCCAAGCACCCCUUCAAGUGCUGAGGUUUACCUGUGAGGUGCUAAUGAAUGGAGCAUUGCACUGGGGUCUUAUUUGUCUUGUUGAUGUUAGGUAACAGAAAAUCUGAUCUCCAAGUAGGCUUCCACUGAAACCUGGUCUCCUCCUAUCUUUAAUCCUGCUUCUUGUGUGGUUACAGGUUGGUGUACAGCUGGAGGCCUCUCCUGAUUUCCUAGCUACCCCAGAGGAGAAGGAACAAAAGUCUCACUGCAUCUGUAUGAACGAGCGGCAUACCAUGUCCUGGGCGGUGAUCCCCAAGUCAUUAGGUGAGCAGCAGAGUCCAGAGGCUCAGUCGGGCCCUUAUAAGCAGGGCUUCUUCUCCCAGGUAAGGACCCCCAGGUGGUAGGAUCACUUUUCUUUGACUUCCAUUCCAGAAUGGCAAGCACUACCAGGUUUACUGGUGCACACCUGCAGUUCAGUAGUUAGAAGGCUGAGACAAGGUCACUCAAGAGUUCAAGGCCUUGCCCACAUAAUCAAAGCUGCAUCCC
rnacentral:lncRNA from 1 species